rnacentral:rRNA from 1 species
UAAGGAAUAUUGCACAAUGGAGGCAACUCUGAUCCAGCCAUGCCGCGUGAAGGAAUAAGGCCCUAUGGGUUGUAAACUUCUUUUAGACGGGACAAAACCCCUUUACGUGUAAAGGGUUGAUGGUACUGUCAGACUAAGCAUCGGCUAACUUCGUGCCAGCAGCCGCGGUAAUACGAAGGAUGCAGGCGUUAUCCGGAAUUAUUGGGUUUAAAGGGUGCGUAGGCGGACUAAUGAGUCAGUGGUGAAAGCCUGCAGCUUAACUGCAGAAUUGCCAUGGAUACUUUUAGUCUUGAGUACAGUUGAGGUCGGCGGAAUGUGUCAUGUAGCAGUGAAAUGCUUAGGUAUGACACAGAACACCGAUUGCGAAGGCAGCGUGCGAAGCUGUAACUGAC